rnacentral:rRNA from 1 species
UACAGAGGUCUCAAGCGUUGUUCGGAAUCACUGGGCGUAAAGGGUGCGUAGGUGGCGUGGUAAGUCAGAUGUGAAAGCCCGGGCUCAACCUCGGAAUUGCAUCCGAUACUGCCGUGCUAGAGUACUGAAGAGGUGACUAGAAUUCUCGGUGUAGCAGUGAAAGUGCGUAGAUAUCGAGAGGAAUACCAACGGCGAAGGCAGGUCACUGGGCAGUUACUGACACCGAGGCACGAAGGCCAGGGGAGCAAACGGG